UACAGAGGUCUCAAGCGUUGUUCGGAUUCAUUGGGCGUAAAGGGUGCGUAGGUGGCGCUGUAAGUCGGGUGUGAAAUUUCGGAGCUUAACUCCGAAACUGCAUUCGAUACUGCGGUGCUUGAGGACUGGAGAGGAGACUGGAAUUCAUGGUGUAGCAGUGAAAUGCGUAGAGAUCAUGAGGAAGACCAGUGGCGAAGGCGGCAUCCUGGACCAACACUGACACUGAGGAGCGAAAGCCGGGGGAGCAAGCGGG
rnacentral:rRNA from 1 species